GAUGAACGCUGGCGGCGUGCUUAACACAUGCAAGUCGAACGGUGAACGAGGGAGCUUGCUCCCUCCGGAUCAGUGGCGAACGGGUGAGUAACACGUGAGCAAUCUGCCCUGGACUCUGGGAUAAGCGUUGGAAACGACGUCUAAUACCGGAUACGAGGCGUGGGGGCAUCCCCAACGCCUGGAAAGAACUUCGGUCCAGGAUGAGCUCGCGGCCUAUCAGGUAGUUGGUGAGGUAAUGGCUCACCAAGCCUACGACGGGUAGCCGGCCUGAGAGGGUGACCGGCCACACUGGGACUGAGACACGGACCAGACUCCUACGGGAGGCAGCAGUGGGGAAUAUUGCACAAUGGGCGCAAGCCUGAUGCAGCAACGCCGCGUGAGGGACGACGGCCUUCGGGUUGUAAACCUCUUUUAGCAGGGAAGAAGCGAAAGUGACGGUACCUGCAGAAAAAGCACCGGCUAACUACGUGCCAGCCGCCGCGGUAAUAC
rnacentral:rRNA from 1 species